AUUGAACGCUGGCGGCAGGCUUAACACAUGCAAGUCGAGCGGGGUGAUGGUGCUUGCACUAUCACUUAGCGGCGUACGGGUGAGUAAUGCUUAGGAAUCUGCCUAUUAGUGGGGGACAACAUCUCGAAAGGGAUGCUAAUACCGCAUACGUCCUACGGGAGAAAGCAGGGGAUCACUUGUGACCUUGCGCUAAUAGAUGAUCCUAAGUCGGAUUUGCUAGUUGGUGGGGUAAAGGCCUACCAAGGCGACGAGCUGUAGCGGGUCGUAGAGGAUGAUCCGCCACACUGGGACUGAGACACGGCCCAGACUCCUACGGGAGGCAGCAGUGGGGAAUAUUGGACAAUGGGGGGAACCCUGAUCCAGCCAUGCCGCGUGUGUGAAGAAGGCCUUAUGGUUGUAAAGCACUUUAAGCGAGGAGGAGGCUCUUUUGGUUAAUACCCAAGAUGAGUGGACGUUACUCGCAGAAUAAGCACCGGCUAACUCUGUGCCAGCCGCCGCGGUAA
rnacentral:rRNA from 1 species